GAUGGUGAUUGAUCACAACUACAACCUGGAGAAAUGUUACGAUUAACGCUAAAAGUCACGAGACGACUACGGAAACAAACUUGUAUGCAAACGGAUUUAAAUUGUUAACCCAAUAGCUUAGUAGAAGUUUAUAUUUGAGUCGUUUAAUGAUUUCAGAAAAGUAGAAAGACAAUAAGAAUACCUUUUAGCUUAUUCUCAUAAAUCUACUAAUAAUAGCAAUCCCAAUUAAUUCAAAAAGUUGUGAAUUCCACUUAUUUUGAAAGGUUGU
rnacentral:lncRNA from 1 species